rnacentral:rRNA from 1 species
CCUACGGGUGACUGCAGUGAGGAAUAUUGGUCAAUGGCCGCAGGGCUGAACCAGCCAAGUCGCGUGAGGGAUGACGGUCCUAUGGAUUGUAAACCUCUUUUGUCAGGGAGCAAAGGGCGCCACGUGUGGCGCUUUGCGAGUACCUGAAGAAAAAGCAUCGGCUAACUCCGUGCCAGCAGACGCGGUAAUACGGAGGAUGCGAGCGUUAUCCGGAUUUAUUGGGUUUAAAGGGUGCGCAGGCGGAAUGUCAAGUCAGCGGUAAAAUUUCGGGGCUCAACCCCGUCGUGCCGUUGAAACUGGCGUUCUUGAGUGAGCGAGAAGUAUGCGGAAUGCGUGGUGUAGCGGUGAAAUGCAUAGAUAUCACGCAGAACUCCGAUUGCGAAGGCAGCAUACCGGCGCUCAACUGACGCUCAUGCACGAAAGCGUGGGUAUCGAACAGGAUUAGAUACCCGGGUAGUC